rnacentral:rRNA from 1 species
GAUGAACGCUGGCGGCGUGCCUAAUACAUGCAAGUCGAGCGAACAGAUGAGGAGCUUGCUCCUCUGACGUUAGCGGCGGACGGGUGAGUAACACGUGGAUAACCUACCUAUAAGACUGGGAUAACUUCGGGAAACCGGAGCUAAUACCGGAUAAUAUAUUGAACCGCAUGGUUCAAUAGUGAAAUACGGUUUUGCUGUCACUUAUAGAUGGAUCCGCGCCGCAUUAGCUAGUUGGUAAGGUAACGGCCUACCAAGGCGAGGAUGCGUAGCCGACCUGAGAGGGUGAUCGACCACACUGGAACUGAGACACGGACCAGACUACUACGGGAGGGCGCAGUAGGGAAUCUUACGCAAUAGGCGGAAGCCUGACGGAGCAACGCCGCGUGAGUGAUGAAGGUCUUCGGAUCGUAAAACUCUGUUAUUAGGGAAGAACAAAUGUGUAAGUAGCUAUGCACGUCUUGACGGUACCUAAUCAGAAAGCCACGGCUAACUACGUG